CGGACGGGUGCGUAACACGUAGGUAACCUACCUUCGAGCUCGGGAUAACGGACCGAAAGGGCCGCUAAUACCGAAUAAGACCACAGGGCUUCGGCCUGGUGGGAAAAGCUGCUUUUUGUGGCACUUGAAGAUGGGCCUGCGGCCUAUCAGCUUGUUGGUGAGGUAACGGCUCACCAAGGCUUCGACGGGUAGCUGGUCUGAGAGGAUGAUCAGCCACACUAGGACUGAGACACGGCCUAG
rnacentral:rRNA from 1 species